rnacentral:lncRNA from 1 species
AAGUCUUCAGUUGGAGGCUUCAGCAGUGGCUCAUGCCUGUAAUUCCAGCACUUUGGGAGGUCCAGGCAGGAGGAUCGCUUGAGCCCAGGAAUUUGAGACCAGUACUGGAAGAGGGAGGGAGGGAAGGAAGGAGAGAGGAAGGAAAAGGGAAGGAAGCAAGGAAGGGAGGGGGAAGGGGGGGAGGUAGGGAGGGAUGGAUUAAAGGCAUUUUGAUUGGAAAGGAAGAAAUAAAACUGUCUUUACUCACAGAAAAAAUUAUCCUGUAUACAGAAAAUUCUCAGGAACCCACAAAAAACUACUAGAAAUACUAAACAAGUUCAGCAAGGUUGAAGGAUACAAGUAUAAUAUCCAAAAAUCAACUGUAUCUCUAUAUACUAGCAAUGAACAAACCAAAAAUAUUUUUUAAUUCCAUUCAAAAGAUCAAAAAUAAAAUAUUUAGAAAUAAAU